rnacentral:rRNA from 1 species
GUAACACGUAUGUAACCUACCUUGAUCAGGGGGAUAGCCUCUCGAAAGAGAGAUUAAGACCGCAUAACAUUAUGAUAUGGCAUCGUAUUAUAAUCAAAUAUUUAUAGGAUCAAGAUGGGCAUGCGCAACAUUAGCUAGUUGGUGUGGUAACGGCAUACCAAGGCGACGAUGUUUAGGGGAUCUGAGAGGAUGACCCCCCACACUGGUACUGAGACACGGACCAGACUCCUACGGGAGGCAGCAGUAAGGAAUAUUGGUCAAUGGACGGAAGUCUGAACCAGCCAUGCCGCGUGCAGGAAGACGGCCCUACGGGUUGUAAACUGCUUUUGCAGGGGAAUAAACCCCGGUUCGUGAACCGGGUUGAAUGUACCUUGAGAAUAAGGAUCGGCUAACUCCGUGCCAGCAGCCGCGGUAAUACGGAGGAUCCAAGCGUUAUCCGGAUUUAUUGGGUUUAAAGGGUGCGUAGGCGGCUUUUUAAGUCAGGGGUGAAAGACGGUAGCUCAACUAUCGCAGUGCCCUUGAUACUGAAGAGCUUGAAUGUACUUGAGGUAGGCGGAAUGUGACAAGUAGCGGUGAAAUGCAUAGAUAUGUCACAGAACACCAAUUGCGAAGGCAGCUUACUAAAGUAUGAUUGACGCUGAGGCACGAAAGCGUGGGGAUCAAACAGGAUUAGAUACCCUGGUAGUCCACGCCCUAAACG